GCCGAGGUGGCGAAAUUGGCAGACGCGCCAGCCUUAGGAGCUGGUGUCCGCAAGGACAUAGAGGUUCGAGCCCUCUCCUCGGCACCA
rnacentral:tRNA from 1 species